AGAAAAGUAAGCUAAAUUUAAGCUAAUAGGUUCAUACCCUAUAUAUGGGUUAAACCCCUUUUCUA
rnacentral:tRNA from 1 species